rnacentral:snRNA from 1 species
AGGGUUUCUCUUCAGAUCGUAUAAAUCUUUGUCUUUUACUAAAGAUUUCCAUGGAGAGGAACAACUCUGAGUCUUGAGCCAUAUUUUGAGGCCUUGUUUUGGCAAGGCU